AUCUGGCCUGAGACACUUCCUAGCUGUGUGACCCUGAGCAAGUCACUUAACCCCUAUUAUUACAUAGCUUUUACCACUCUUCUGCCUUGGAACUAAUCCUUAAUGUAACUUCUAAAACAGAAUUCUGUUGGGGGAGUUUUAAUCCACUUUCUAUACAGUCUCUUCAGGCAUUUCUGGCUGCCAGCUUCAAGAGAAAAGAUGACAGAUGUGUACCUCAGUUCAGGUUCCUGAAGAAAAAGACUCUGGGAAGAAGCCAAGCUGGCGGCUUCCAUCAUGUCCUUUUGCCAGCCUUUAGGAAACUUCAAAAUCUAAGGCUCUUCCAUUGUUGAUUGAGCUUCCAAUGGUAGAGCUCCCUCCAUCUGUACUAUCUGGCGUAUAUUCUCAUAUAUAUAGCUUCCUCUGA